AUCAAAAACAUGUCUUCUUGUUAAGAAUAUGAAGUCUAAUCUGCUCAAUGAUUUUAAAUUAAAUAGCUGCAGUAAUUUGACUGUACAAAGGUAGCAUAAUAAAUAGUUUAUUAAUUGUAGACUGGAAUGAAUGAUUGAAUAAAAUAUUUACUAUCUUUAUUUUAAUUUUAUUAAAAUUUGAUUUUUAAGUUAAAAAGCUUAAAUAAUAUUAAGGGACGAUAAGACCCUAUAGAUUUUUAUAUAGUUAAGAUGUAAAUUUGUUAAAUUUUAUAAAAAUAUAUUUUAACUAUAUUUUAAUGGGGAAUUAGUAAAAUUUAUAAACUUUUAUUAGUUGAUAAACAUAAAUUUAUGAUUAAGUGAAUAAUAUUAAUUAUUUAAAAUAAAAAUACCUUAGGGAUAACAGCAUAAUAUUUUUUGAAAGAUCAUAUUUUAAAAAUUGUUUGUGACCUCGAUGU
rnacentral:rRNA from 1 species